rnacentral:pre_miRNA from 7 species
UGGCCUCGUUCAAGUAAUCCAGGAUAGGCUGUGCAGGUCCCAAGGGGCCUAUUCUUGGUUACUUGCACGGGGAC